GUGCUCUCUUCAGCAGGACAUAUACUAAAAUUAGAAUGAUACAGAGAAGGUUAGCAUGACCCCCAUGCAAGGAUGACGUACAAAUUCAUGAAGCAUUUCAUAUAAAG
ensembl:snRNA U6 U6 spliceosomal RNA